GAUGAACGCUGGCGGCGUGCCUAAUACAUGCAAGUCGAGCGAACAGACGAGGAGCUUGCUCCUCUGACGUUAGCGGCGGACGGGUGAGUAACACGUGGAUAACCUACCUAUAAGACUGGGAUAACUUCGGGAAACCGGAGCUAAUACCGGAUAAUAUAUUGAACCGCAUGGUUCAAUAGUGAAAGACGGUUUUGCUGUCACUUAUAGAUGGAUCCGCGCCGCAUUAGCUAGUUGGUAAGGUAACGGCUUACCAAGGCAACGAUGCGUAGCCGACCUGAGAGGGUGAUCGGCCACACUGGAACUGAGACACGGUCCAGACUCCUACGGGAGGCAGCAGUAGGGAAUCUUCCGCAAUGGGCGAAAGCCUGACGGAGCAACGCCGCGUGAGUGAUGAAAGUCUUCGGAUCGUAAAACUCUGUUAUUAGGGAAGAACAAAUGUGUAAGUAACUAUGCACGUCUUGACGGUACCUAAUCAGAGAGCCACGGCUAACUACGUG
rnacentral:rRNA from 1 species